UCAAACUACCAUUUAGGAUAUUUUUGA
rnacentral:sRNA from 1 species